CUCCAGUGCGCGUCACUAUCCCCGUGCCCAGUCCGAGGAAAGGCCGAAGGAGGGAAUUCUGAUUUCUCCCCGAGACACGAAGGAGCGCUUCCCGUCGUGGUCUUGCCUUCCGCCUGCUGGAGAACCGUGUUGGAAAGGCUGAACGUUGAUUUUGCGCCUUAUCUCUAGUUGGAGAUCCCGGAGUUGAGUAUCUCCUAUGCCUGUCAAUUGGGAAGCAGGGGUGUCUCUUCCACUUUUUGCCACUCUUCUGUUGUCCCCAAUCGGGGUCUGACUGAGCCUGGUGCCGAAGCCAAUGAUGGACUCCAGACACAAGCUAGAUUUUUGGUGGCGCAAUACUGGAAGAAGGAAGAUUUGCCUACUAUUGAAGAAUGGACAUUAAAAGUAGCGAAUUUGGCAGAAAUGGCGAAGAUUUCGGCAUAUUUGAAAGAUCACUCACAAGAAAGAUUUAUAUCGGAAUGGAGAAGAUGGAUUG